ACGAACGCUGGCGGCGUGCUUAACACAUGCAAGUCGAACGGAAAGGCCCUGCUUGCAGGGUACUCGAGUGGCGAACGGGUGAGUAACACGUGGGUGAUCUGCCCUGCACUUCGGGAUAAGCCUGGGAAACUGGGUCUAAUACCGGAUAGGAGCCAUUUUUAGUGUGAUGGUUGGAAAGUUUUUUCGGUGUAGGAUGAGCUCGCGGCCUAUCAGCUUGUUGGUGGGGUAAUGGCCUACCAAGGCGGCGACGGGUAGCCGGCCUGAGAGGGUGGACGGCCACAUUGGGACCGAGAUACGGCCCAGACUCCUACGGGAGGCAGCAGUGGGGAAUAUUGCACAAUGGGCGCAAGCCUGAUGCAGCGACGCCGCGUGGGGGAUGACGGCCUUCGGGUUGUAAACUCCUUUCGCUAGGGACGAAGCUUUUUGUGACGGUACCUAGAUAAGAAGCACCGGCUAACUACGUG
rnacentral:rRNA from 1 species